AGUUCCGUAUGGAUUGCGCAGUCUACUUCGUGAUAUGGUGGAACGACCAUCAGAAGUGAACGAGAUAUUGGGGUUACUUAUACCGGGCAAUAGUAAAGUUGGUGUGAUCGGAAGUCAAAGCGGCGACAUUUUUGGUAUCCGUGGAAUGGGCGGCCUGGGUAAGACCGUCUUAGCCCUGGCUGUUGCUUGGGCUGCUUCAGGUUCUCG